rnacentral:misc_RNA from 1 species
AACUGAUACUACCUGCGGGAACCUGCGGAGGGAUCAUUACCGAGUGAGGGUCCCUUGAGGGCCCAACCUCCCACCCGUGUUUACGUAUACCAUGUUGCUUCGGCGGGCCCACUGGGGCCUCGUCUCUGGUCGCCGUGGGGGAACCCCGGGGCCCGUGCCUGCCGGAGACCUUUUCAAAACUCUGUGAAAUAGUGAGUUGUCUGAGUGAUAGUUAUCAAUAGUUAAAAAACUUUCAACAAU